rnacentral:lncRNA from 1 species
CUCUGCCCGGCCGCCCCUACUGGGAAGUGAGGACCCCUCUGCCCGGCCAGCCGCCCCGUCCGGGAGGGAGGUGGGGGGGGUCAGCCCCCCGCCCGGCCAGCCGCCCCGUCCGGGAGGGAGGUGGGGGGAUCAGCCCCCUGCCUGGCCAGCCGCCCCGUCCGGGAGGGCGGUGGGGGGGUCAGCCCCCCGCCCGGCCAGCCGCCCCAUCUGGGAGGUGAGGGGCACUUCUGCCGGGCCGCCCCUACUGGGAAGUGAGGAGCCCCUCUGCCCGGCCACGACCCCGUCUGGGAGGUGUGCCCAGCGGCUCAUUGGGGAUGGGCCAUGAUGACAAUGGCGGUUUUGUGGAAUAGAAAGGCGGGAAGGGUGGGGAAAAAAUUGAGAAAUCGGAUGGUUGCUGGGUCUGUGUGGAUAGAAGUAGACAUGGGAGACUUUUCAUUUUGUUCUGUACUAAGAAAAAUUCUUCUGCCUUGGGAUCCUGUUGAUCUGUGACCUUAUCCCCAACCCUGUGCUCUCUGAGACAUGUGCUGUGUCCACUCAGGGUUAGAUGGAUUAAGGGCGGUGCAAGAUGUGCUUUGUUGAACAGAUGCUUGAGGGCAGCAUGCUCGUUGAGAGUCAUCACCACUCCCUAAUCUUAAGUACCCAGGGACACAAACGCUGCGGAAGGCCGCAGGGUCCUCUGCCUAGGAAAACCAGAGACCUUUGUUCACUUGUUUAUCUGCUGACCUUCCCUCCACUAUUGUCCUAUGACCCUGCCAAAUCCCCCUCUGCGAGAAACACCCAAGAAUGAUCAAUAAAAAUAAAAAAUAAAAAAAAUAAAAAAAAAAAAAAAAAAAAUUUUAAACUUUUUUUUUUUUUUUGAGACGGAGUCUCGCUCUGUCGCCCAGGCCAGACUGCGGACUGCAGGGGCGC